rnacentral:tRNA from 1 species
UUUAGCUCAGUGGCAUAAGCACCUGCCUUGCAAGCAGGCAGUCAUCAGUUCGACCUUGGUACUGAUAA